rnacentral:rRNA from 1 species
GACGAACGCUGGCGGCGUGCUUAACACUCGCAAGUCGAGCGAUGAAACUACUUCGGUAGUGAAUUAGCGGCGAACGGGUGAGGAACACGUGAGGAAUCUGCCUUCUACACUGGGAUAACUCCGGGAAACCGGGGCUAAUACCGGAUAUGAAACUUGGUGGCAUCACCGAGUUUGGAAAGUUUUUCGGUAGAAGAUGACCUCGCGGCCUAUCAGCUUGUUGGUGAGGUAAUGGCUCACCAAGGCGACGACGGGUAGCCGGCCUGAGAGGGCGACCGGCCACACUGGGACUGAGACACGGCCCAGACUCCUACGGGAGGCAGCAGUGGGGAAUAUUGGGCAAUGGAGGAAACUCUGACCCAGCGACGCCGCGUGCGGGGAUGAAGGCC